UACGGAGGGUGCAAGCGUUGUCCGGAAUCACUGGGUGUAAAGGGUGUGUAGGUGGGGCUGUAAGUCAGAGGUGAAAGCCCACAGCUUAACUGUGGAAUUGCCUUUGAUACUGCAGCUCUUGAGUCCUGGAGGGGCCAUUGGAAUUCGUGGUGUAGCGGUGAAAUGCGUAGAUAUCACGAGGAACACCAGAGGCGUAAGCGGAUGGCUGGACAGGUACUGACACUGAGGCACGAAAGCGUGGGGAGCAAACAGG
rnacentral:misc_RNA from 1 species